rnacentral:misc_RNA from 1 species
GAAAUGCGAUAAGUAAUGUGAAUUGCAGAAUUCAGUGAAUCAUCGAAUCUUUGAACGCACAUUGCGCCCCUUGGUAUUCCGAGGGGCAUGCCUGUUCGAGCGUCAUUUCAACCCUCAAGCUCUGCUUGGUAUUGGGCUUUCGCCGGGUCCCGGCGUGCCCCAAAGAUAUCGGCGGCGGCGCCCAGCCUCGAGCGUAUUAAGAUCUCCUCUCGCUCUGGAGGCUCGGGCUUCUGCCUGCCGGCAAAACGGGCCCUCGCGCCCACUCUCCCAAGGUUGACCUCGGAUCAGGUAGGGAUACCCGCUGAACUUAAGC